rnacentral:lncRNA from 1 species
CAGAGUUCAACUUCAGCUAGAAAAUGGUAAGUUUCGCCGACCUCAAUGCAUGCUUUAGUAAUUUUUUUCUAUUAUCUCUUUUCUUAGUGGUAGAUGUCUAGCAUGAAAAGUUGAGGAUCGCUUGGAUUAAACAGGUUGUUGUGUAGAUCUCAAUGUAAUUGUUGGGAAAAAUGGUGGUCCAUUAUCUAAAGUUGAGUAAAAAGAGAAGAUCUGGCUGCAGGGACUCUUUCUCUCUAAUGAUGAACAUUUUUGUCUAUGCAGGUCUUGGCCUUGAGUUGAAUAACAUUUGUGGAAAUGAUUGGGUGUUCAGCGAUGGUGAUCCAGGUAACUUGUCAGGGUUUGGCUCCUUCCAAUGCCUAAAAACUGGUAGUAGCGUGAAAAUGGUGACCAUAUGUAGAAGGGUGAGAACUAAUAUAUAAAUGUCCUUGUGCAAAAUAUAAUAUGUAGAAGGGUUUGGCUGGUGUUUUAGCAUGGAAAGAUUCAUGUCUUGGUUCCUGCCCUUAAGAUUGCAGAGAUCCUGUAACAUAACACGCCUUCUCUAGCUUGUAUUAAUUGGUAAUCAAAAUAACACUCCUU